rnacentral:snRNA from 1 species
GGAUGUGAAUGCCAUCUGGAUGCCACAUCUGUCCACCCCAGUCAUUGUCAGGGUUGAUUUGGCUGAUCUGACUGGCUAGGUGAUGUCCCCUUCCUCCUUCACCACUCCAUGCAUGUCCCUCCCGAAGAUGCGUGUUUGGUUGAAGAGGAUGACCUUUGCUGAUAGAGAGGCCCAUUCUUUGGUCCACGAUACAUAAGUAGCUGUGCCCCCUGCUAGAACCUCCAAACAAGCUCUCAAUAGAUACUGAGAGAGAGAGAGAGAGAGAGAAAGAGCAUUCACAUACUAAUUUUAUUAAUUUGUAAUCUCUUU